AGUGAGGCAGACAGAGGCAGGGUCACUGUGCUAGAAAUUAAGGCAAAACAGUGACACAGCCCUGCUCCACCAACACAAACCCAUGCUUGAGUCAUCAGGCCAAAAUGCCACCAGACACGAACUAACGCCUGACUCAUGCGCAGCACAAACUAACUGUUCCCGAGACAAGCCUGGCGACUCCGUAGGAUUGGAGUUUCGGACCGUUAUGCGCUGCCAUGAGAUUCUGGGAAUCGGACCGAGUCCUCUACGAGAGCAGCAAAUGCUGUUAAGCGCUGAGCCACUCUCCAGCUUCCAGGAAUUGUUUUUAAAGUCGCACAGAAGGGCUGCCAAGUCACUGUCCUGCCAGCGAAGGGCAAGGAAAACUUCGUGACUGCGGAAUUAGGCAUAAAAGGAGAUGCCAGAGAGAUAGGAGAAGAGGAGGAAGAAAGGCAGUGAAUUUUCUGCCUGCGGGUCUUCCUUAGGCUCCCCUACCUGACUUUUUUUUUUUUUUUUUUUUUUUUUUUUUUUUUUUUGGAUUUUUCGAGACAGGGUUUCUCCGUAGUUUUUGGUUCCUGUCCUGGAACCACCUGACUCUUUUAAUAAUGAAAGCUCCUCCUACUUCUGGGAUGCUUCCAGAAAUUCCCAAACCUGGCUCCCCACACAAUUGCCAGGGAAGCUGUCUUACAGACACCCAGAUUGCAUCCUAACGAACUCUAGUUCCUAAAUCUGGGGAGACACCUAGACACCUCUCCUUAAAAUCUCUCCGGAUGAUCUUGAUGUGUGGUUUAUAAAGAAACGCGAGAACAGAGGCCAUUUUAAGGGGCUUGGGCCUGUGGGACUCUGAACACAGCUUUCCUUUCUCAGCUCAGUCACAACCAACAGCAUUGCCCACGCGCAGGUGCUCUUCAGCAGACAGGCGCACAGCUGUGGAGGAUGCCCACCCACCAUAUCCCUAGGGAUCUGCUUGCUGAGUAUAACCUGUUCAGUUUCCUGCGGCCCAUUUAGUGCAGUGACCCGGGGCGGGGACCCACCAUGUCCCUGAUUACAAGAAACAGCCGGCGCCGACCCCCCUCUGUGUACGGGGCUUCCUAGUGAGGGAAACAGGACAGGGCCUGGCUGCCCUCAGCAUCAUCCAGACCUGGCUUUGAGUCCUGACUUAACAGUUGGUUACCUGUGGAUGAUUUUAAAUGUCUCCUAACAUUUCCUAAUCCUGACUGCAACAGGAGACAGUCACCUGCCUCAGAGACUGCAGUAAGUCUCAAAUGUGAUCCCGGCUGUCCUGAGGACCCUGACUGCCUGUGCUGUCCAGUGCUAGCUCUUCCCAGCAGUGGGACGGCCUUACUGCUCUUCAAUGUCCCCACCCUUGUGAAAUGAACCCACUAUGCAGGGGUUUUGUUGUCUCUGCUUUGAGGAUAGUUGUUAGUUUCAGAACCAACAUCCUGUGAGGAAAAGCAAAAAAGUAUCCAAGAAUCAAGACAGGUGAGUAAUAUCAGUUUGUCCAUCCAUCCUUCUUCCUGUAGAAUAUCAGCUUACUUGCAUAGAGAGGCUUUCAAAUACCAGGUGUUCAGCAGAACAUGCAUCAAAGUGCUGUUUCCUGAAGGAGUCUGCAAGUUUCUCCUGGUGCGGAGCCAGGCAUCCAUUGUAGAAAGAGGGAGCUGCUUGUUCAUCCCGGCCACCCAGAACCGAAAUAACUACACAGAAACUGUAUUAAUUAAAUUACUGCUCGGGCCCAUUAGCUCUAGCUUCUUCUUGGCUCUUAUAUUAAUUUAAUCCAUUUCUAUUAAUCUGUAUAUCACUACGUGGCAGUGACUUACUGGCAAAUAUUCAGCAUGUCUGACUCUGGCAGCUCCAUGGCUUUUCCGACUCCAUCUUUUAUCCUCCCAGCAUUCAGUUCUAUCUUCCCCGCCUACCUAAGUUCUGCCCUAUCAACAGGCCAAGGCAGUUUCUUUAUUCUAUAACCAAGAAAAGCAACACACAGACAGAAGGACCUCCCACACCAAUCCACAAUUUAACAACCGCUCAGAUCACAGUUGGAGAAAUGCCACGUUAAGAUUUUCCUAGUCCUUAGCUGGGUGGUGGUGGCACAGGCCUUUAAUCCCAGCACUCAGGAGGCAGAGGCAGGCAGAUUUCUGAGUUUGAAGCCAACCUGGUCUACAAAGCAAGCUCCAGAACAGUCAGGGUACCCAGAGAAACCCUGUCUCAAAAAACUAAGAAAACAAAACAAAACAAAGAAUACAGUUAAUGAUGGAACCAGCGAGACAGUUCAGCUGGGUAAAAACACUUGCUCUGCAAGCCUGAUGACCUGAGUUUGACCCCCGGAUCUCACAAUGGAAGGCAAGACCCAACUCCCGAAAGUUGUCUUCUGAUCUCCACUGGCACACAGCGGCCUGCACUCACACAUGCUGCACAUACACACGAUACAGUGUUGUUAUUUUUAAAGAACAUAGCUAAUUUUAAAUAUUCAAUCAGUGAAAUAACCCUACUAGAAGUCUCACUGCACUCACAGAAGGACCAGAAAAACCAAAGCGGGAGGAGCCUACCUUGGAAUAAAAAGUACCAGUUCUACACCAAUGACUCCAGGGGGAGAGAACCAGAUGAAAUCCCAGGCAAGGAAUCAUAUAUAUGACCAUUCUUAUAUGUAUAUAUAUAUAUAUUUUUCUUUUAAGACAGUUUCUCUGUGAGGCUCUGGUUGCCUAGACUUCUCUCUGUAGAUCAGGCUGAACUCAGACUCAGAGAUCUGGCUGCCUCUGCCUCCCAAGUGCUGGGAUUAAAGGCAUGCACUACUACACCUGGCUCAUACAAAUAUUUAAUGAAACCAAAGAGUAUACAAAUAGACCCUAAAUGAAUUAAAACAGGGCUCAAUGAAAUAAGUAAAUAAACUCAGGGUUUGAAAUGGGAAUCAAUAAAGAUAGAAAUACUGAAAGAUUUAAAAUUUUAGAAAGAAACUCAGUAACUCAAAAGCAAAACAAGCUGGGUGGUGGUGGUAUAUGCCUUUAAUCCCACACUCAGGAGGCAGAGGCAGGUGGAUCUCUAAUAGUGAAAGGCCCACUAAACCCCUGUCUCAAAAAAGACAAACAAGCAAUACCUUAAUAGAAAGCUUUGCUGAUAGAAUGGACCAAGUGGAAUAUGGACUCUCACACAUGGAAUUCAGACACUGACAAACACAAAAUGAUAAGAAAAUAUGAAAAAAAUAAGCCAGUUGUUUAAGAUGCCAUUGAAACAAUCCAACUUAUUAAUCAUGGGGAUAAAACAAGGAGAUCCUCAGGUUAAGGGUGUGAACAGCAGGGGCUGUGGUCCUCCAGUACAGCAGCGAGAGGCUGUGCAGGUGCCUCUGGCAAGCAUGCGUCCCCAGCCAGCAUAAGCCUGCCUGUCAGUCACAGCAGGGAGGGCAGGGCUGGGCACAUCCUCUCUCUGCUCUCAUUCUCCUGGAUGGGUGGCAUGGUAAGUCACGUGGCUCUGCACGACUAUGAUGCUGGUAAGUCAAAACAGGACCAGAACAGGGGUGGUUGCUGCAGAGAUGCCUCAGCAGUUAACAGUGAUUACAGGUUUCGUCUAUGACCAUCGUGGUGGGAAGAUGGAGGCAUUCAGGCAGACAUGAUGCUGGAGACGGGGCUGAGAGUUCUGCAUCCGGAUCGGCAGGCAGCAGGAAGUGAACUACUGUGAGCCACCAGGACUGGUUUUGAGCAUCUGAGACCUCAAACUCCAUUCCCCACAGUGACACACUUCUUCCCACAAAGCCACACCUACUCCAACAAGGCCACACCUCCUAGUAGAGCCACUCUCUCUAUGGGCCAAGCAUCCAAACACAUGAGUCUAUGGGGGACAUUCCUAUUCAAACCACCCUAACUACUAUGACUAAGACACGAAAAGAAGAAAAGGAAGAGUCUCCUGACCUGUCUGAGAGAUCUAGAUCUCCUAAGUAGAAGACCCUAGGGGAACAGUGGAUGGAUCUGCUUGCACAAGGAGA